rnacentral:misc_RNA from 1 species
UUUCCGUAGGUGAACCUGCGGAAGGAUCAUUAUUGUAUCACCGAGGGGCGAGGGCUGUCGCUGACCCGAAAGGUCGUGCACGCCCUAAUGCCCUCACGCCCUUCCAUCCCACCCCUCUUUGCACCCCCGCGUGGGUCCCCCUUUGGCUUGUUCGGUGGGGGGCUUACGUUUUCACACAAACUUUGUAUGCAGUGUAGAAUGUAUUUUUUGUUUUUGCGUUCAAGCAAUCAAUACAACUUUCAACAACGGAUCUCUUGGCUCUC